CUGGAAUUGAGAUUCCUCAUUUAGGAAAAAAGACAGGGUUUCAAAAGGGUACUGGCAGAGUCCAGCUUAGAGUUUUACUCCACCUCAUAAACUGAUCCCUCAAAAUGUCAGCUUUUGUCUGUGCCUUUACCCUUGGUUCAGUAUCCAAACCACAGCCUCAAGGGUUGCCUGAGAAGGGUUAUGUGUGCAUUCUGGGCCUCCAGCGCUCAUGUCCUAAAUCCAGUGGUACACAGCACACUCCUUAUUUCCCAUCCAAAUUCAUAUUAUCAAAUCUCUUAAGGAUUUUUCUUAGAAAAAGAUCCAACUAUUCCUUCAAAAUUUUUAAACUCUUCUUAAUGAAGAUCUUGGUUUUUGUAUUUCUUCCAACUGACCUCCUUCACUUCCCUGUACCCCUGAGUACAUGUGCAAAUCACUCUUAAGGCACAUGGAUGGUGCUGAUUUUCCAAAAAGCAAUAGAUAGCCUACUCAAAACAUGAUAAUUUGCGGAGAGUUUUCUCUGCAUAGGAACUAUGUACAAAGAUAUGGGAGUAGAGAAACCACAAGAAACAAUUGAAUAACCUAGGGCUCAGUAACACCUAAAUUAUUUACCACCAUUAAGCCAAAAGAAACAAGAGAGGUAUCUAAGUUUUCCUGAGUUAUGUAUGUAAUAGUGAACAGUUCACCUCCAAGAUAGAGUGUAGUCUUCUUGAUGCAAGCUUCUUCCACCUGUGUUCUCUUGGUUAUCUUCCUUAGGAACUAGAACUAAAGCGAGGUUAAUUUCCACAGUGAGAACAUGCUCCAGACAUCCGAGCACCAGUGUGGCUCUGGAAACUCCACAGAUACCACAGGACUAGAAAAUAACUGGACAAUGGGAUGUUCUAUCUUGCCCGAACUGAGGGAUAUAAAAAGCUCCAAAGGUAAGAUCUCAAGGCAAGAGACAUUGAAGCUGGACUCAUCCCCAACUACUCAAGAAAACAAGGUCAAAGAGAUGCUCAAAAAUCAGAGCUUUACUCAAACAUUGUAGAAGAUAGUUAGAUUUGAUACAUGUCAAAUUCCUUCCAAUCCUUCCUAUGUUUCUUUCAUUCUGUGAGAUUUUAUCUGAACACCCUGUGAAGCUUGGAUUUGAACUUAGAAAUAUCUAACUCCGAAGUCCAAACACAGCUACUGCUCUUUGAACAUGACAAGAGAGCUGGGUUCCCAGUUUGAUCUACAAUAAUUCGAAAAACCUUGUCUCCUAUCCUCUGGUAAUGGCUUGCUCCAACAUCUAGCAUUCAACCACCUUCUAGGUGGAAAUGAAAGAAGUUGCUGGGUUAAAGAGAAACUCUACUAGCAGAGAGAGAAAGUAACAAAGAAUGGUACUCUUUCUUCUUGAAAAUCUCUGUGGCAGAAAAACAUGUUAUCUAAAAACUUAAGGCUUGGCUGGGCAUGGUGGCUCAUGCCUAUAGUUCCAACACUUUGGGAGGCCAAGGUGGGUGGAUCACUUGAGGUCAGGAGUUCGAGAUCAGCCUGGCCAACAUGGUGAAACCCCAUCUCUACUAAAAAUACAAAAGUUAGCCAGGCAUGGUGGCAUACCUGUAAUCCCAGCUACUUGGGAGGCUGAGGCAUGAGAAUCACUUGAACCUGGGAGGCAGAGGUUGCAGUGAGCCAAGAUAGCACCUCUGCACUCCAGCCUAGGCGACAGAGUGAGACUCCAUCUCAAAAAAAAAAAUUAAGACUUUAGGAGAAAAUAGAUAUGAAAACAAGGUCAAAAUGAACCUAUAAAAGUUCUUACGGAUACUCUUCAUGGUCACUAAAUUAAAAAGAUAAAAAGAUAGCAUACUGAUUAAGGAGAAUAUCAGUAACUUACACGUCUUCAAAUUUAAGAUAAUUGAUUUUGUAUAGUUCAUUUCCAUUGACCAUUCACUCCUUGCUGAAAGUUUUUUAGACUUUAUCUCCUUCUUGAUUUCAAUGAAGCACUCGAAAUUUUUUUCAUUUUUACAAAUAACUCACAUGUUAAAGGUCAUUUGCCUCAGUGUUAGAUUCUCCAUUCAAACGUUCAGUAUCUUUCUGAUUUUAUAUAGAGUCCCACUAUAGACACAGCUACAUUUGAAUAAUUUGAAAGACUGAGAUUCUUUGGAUAACUUGACUUGCAGUCUUAUAACUAUCCAAUGUUAUACAGCCCUUAUUCAGCUGAUGAUUAAUUUAUAUUAUAAAAUUAUAACAAGCACAGGACAUCAGCAUUGCUUACAUACAUCUCAGCUCUCUUCCUAUUAAAGAAAAUGAAGCUGAGUUCUGAGGGUCAAAUGUAUUUUCCCUGUGCUUUCAAAGUCUGCUAAAACAUCUACUUACUCUCUCUCUUCACAAGAACAUAAGCAACCUCAGUGCAGGUAUGUUUUAUUUAGUGAUGCACCAUAGCAAUUGAAAGAGUGCCUAGCACAUAUAAGUAUUCAGUAAAAUAUUUGUUGAGUGAAAACCAUCCACUCUACCUUUCUACUCCCUACCACCAAGUCCCUCUUAUUCUGUUUACCCCAAAAUAAGUCAUUAAAAAUUAGCUAAUAGAGGUCG
rnacentral:lncRNA from 1 species